AAUCUCAGCCCAAAACAAAAUUGAGGUCCAAGCCACUUCUCAUGCUAACCCUAAAUAAACACACACUAAAACACAUUUAAACACACACACUCAGCCACAACUUCACACACUCACACACACGCAUCAGACGCACCCUCUCUCUCUAUAUCGGUGCUCUGCCGCCGCCGCCCCGACGGCGGUGCCCGCCGGACGGAGGCCCGCGUUGGCCCCUCCCCUCUCUCCCUGAACUCUUUCCCCCUCUCUUCCCCUCUAUCUCUCUCGCUCUCUCGGCCGCUGGACCCAGGCGCAGCAGACACCACCACCGCGGUGCGCCGCCAUCGCCGGGCCGCCGCCUGCUCCCUCAUUCUCGCGGCAGAUCCGCCGCGGCCUGAAGACCACGGCGCCGUCGCUCAUCUCGCCAUCUCCCUCGUUCUCACCUUCUCUCUUUCUCACCGACUCACACACACGCGCACGCAGACACGGCGUAAGCCGCGCUGCCGCGUCGUCCUCCCCUUCGCCGGUGGACAGACGGCCAGGGGGCCGCCGCCUCCGUCGUCCGUCGAAUUAAAGAUCGGAAGCCACCGCGGCUCCGUCGCCGUCCGUCGACCGCCGGCGACGACGAGUCACCAAGGCUGCCCUCUCCCUCUCUCGACUCACACACAAAACAGGGGUUCAAGCCUCAUAUUCAGUUCACAAAAUAGCAUAGGGUUUUUGUUAGCACAUAUCAUUCUCAAACUGUAAUUUCUUAAUGAAAUCUGAAUUUCUUUCCUUGCAAA